GACAAAAGGCAGCAACCCUAGGAUCCCCCUUGACUGUAUGUUAAAUGCAGUUAGAGGGGAAAUCAAUGCAUCAUUAAGACUACAUGUCAUUGUAAUGUUAAUGGAGCCAGUAGGCUGCAAGCACUGGGGGUCCCAAAGGCAACUACUUCUCAGCCUUUCUUGUCAUAUUGGACAUUCCACAUUAGCAAUAUCACUGUAUCACUGUUUCACACAUUUGGACAGCAAUGAUAGGAUGGACACUUGAAAAAGUUUUGAGUCAGCACUAUGGGAUGCAUCCUGCAACCUACUAGCACUUUAGCCACUUCAACAGCAUUUAAUGGUUAAAGGGACUCUAUAGUCACCUAAACCACUUCAUCUCAUCCAAGUGGUCUAGGUGCACUAUACCUGUCCCACUUAGUCCUGAUAUGUAAAUCAUUGCAGUUUUGGAGAAACUUGUAGGACAAAAACUUCCUCCAGUGGCUGUCAAUCGGAUGCUGGAUGCCAAUGGACUCUAGAUCCCGUAAAUGACGCUGGACUCCUCACACUCUGCAUUAGGACAUCCAGCGUCAUGGAGAUCCCCAUAGCAAAGCAUUGAGGGAUGCGCAUUAGGGCCCCCCGUUGGAUGAGGCGGAGCGCCGAGGGAUAUUGGGGCUAGAAAUGGCUAAGUAACUAAAGGGUUUUAACCCUUAACAUGCCGGGGGUGCGAGCGAGGGAGGACCAGAGGGAACUAUAGUGUUAGCAAUACAGCUUUGUAUUCCUAACACUAUAGUAUUCCUUUAAGUGCUUAGACUGCCCUUUAAACCAUCCUUAAGGUGUACUGAGUGUCCUAUGUGUCUGUUUUCCUCUGCUCACUUAGACAAUAAAGUUGCUUAAUUCAAUCCACAAUCAAGCAGCAGGCAGAAAGAGAGACAAGACAAGAGACAUUUAGGGACGUACUUGUCUGACUGCUUUUUUCUUUCAUCGAAU